UACGUAGGGUGCGAGCGUUGUCCGGAUUUAUUGGGCGUAAAGAGCUCGUAGGCGGCUUGUCGCGUCGACUGUGAAAUCCCGCGGCUCAACCGCGGGUCUGCAGUCGAUACGGGCAGGCUAGAGUUCGGUAGGGGAGACUGGAAUUCCUGGUGUAGCGGUGAAAUGCGCAGAUAUCAGGAGGAACACCGAUGGCGAAGGCAGGUCUCUGGGCCGAUACUGACGCUGAGGAGCGAAAGCGUGGGGAGCGAACAGG
rnacentral:rRNA from 1 species